GUUCCUUCAGGCAGGCUUCCCAUAGAUAUUGAAAGGUUAACUUACUAUCAGAAGACCUCGGAUUAUCUACGAACAUUAGCUGUUUUAGGACCCAUUUGCAGUCAUGAUCUCACUCUACUUGCAGAUCAGCUGGAGAUUAUAAAAUUCUGAAGUUCAGUCUCUGAGAGCUUUACUGAUUUAUCGUCCUACUUAAGCAAAAUAAGCAGUGAUUCUUGCAUAUCUGAAGAAAACCUCAACAUCUAGACUACUGUGGAGGACAUUUUCACUGAGGCACAUCCCUAACUUGAGAGAUGGGGAGUGAAUUCAAAAGAAUUGUUCUGCUGAAAGGAUUUCAGCACCUCAGUGAUUAUCAGUUUAGCAUGAUUAAGAGUUUACUGGCCAAGGAUUUAAGACUGACUAGUAAAAUGCAAGAUGACUAUGACAGAAUUAAGAUUGCUGACUUGAUGGAAGUAAAGUUCCCUGGGGCUGCCUGUGUUGAAAAAUUAAUAGACUUGAUCAAAGAUAUAGAAGAAGUUAAAGACCUUGCUAAAACUCUUCGAAAGGAGAGGUUAAAAGUUAUUAGGAGAAGCAGAGCAAAAGAAGCAACUCCAGUGAAAAAAAGCAAGCUGAAUAAACCCAGUCCUGACCAAUCUACAUCCACCACUGAUAAAGCUUUGGGACCUGAAUCAAUCAAGGAUACACCUGUGAAGGGAAAGAAAACCACAAAAACUAAUGAAUCUAAGAGGAUGAAUCUAAAGAAGGAUCAGAGUCAGCUUCCAGGAUUGUUAGUAACCAGUGCAGAGUCAACUGAGAGCCUUCCCCAGACUCCUCAAAUGCUUCCACCAAACCCAUCCAGCAGUUCUUCAACCAAGAAAAAAAAUGACAUAGCCACCAAAAUUAACGACUUAAAAAGGAAGACCGUAUCUCAGAAACAGAGUCAACUUCCAGGAACUUCAGCAACCAGCAAAUGCCCAACUGGGAGCAGUUGUCCAGUGAAAUCUAUACCUCCACCAACACCAUCCAGCAGUUUCUCAGUCAAGGAAGAAGAAAAUACAUAUUUUUGGAUUCAAAGAAUAGAAGACACAACCAAUAAAACGCUUGACUCCAAGAAAAAGAAACUAUGCCUGGAGCAGAGUCAGCUUCCACAAUGUGCAAACUUCAGCAUAAUCCCAAAUGAGGGCUGCCUUCAGACUCCUCAGAUGCUGCCACCAACCUCAUCCAGCAGUUCCUCAACCAAGAAACCAAGAUUGAAGGCUGUACCUAAAGAAGCUUCCAGAGAGGAGGGCUUCCAGAGGGGGCCCAAAGAAGUGAUGGUGCUGAAAGCAACGGAACCAUUUACAUAUGAUGUCAGAGAAGGCGAGAGGAAGAUGUUUCAUGCCACAGUGGCUACUGAGAGCCAGUUCUUCCAAGUGAAGGUUUAUCAUGUUGACCUGAAGGAGAAGUUCAUCCCAAAGAAAAUCAUUGCCAUAUCAGAUUAUUUUGGCCGCAGUGGGUUCCUGGAGGUGUUCAAUGCCUCAUCUGUGUCUGAUGUUAACCCUGACCGAAAGAUGGAGAUCUCUAAAAGCCUGAUUCAAAAGGCAAAUGCAACUCCUAAAAUCAGUCAUCUUUACUCGCAAGCUCUAGGAACAUUUGUGAAUGGGGUGUUUCUGGUGCAUGAGAAAUUGGUACGUAAUGAAUGCAUAUAUUAUGAAAUACAAGAUAAUACAGGAGUGAUGGAAGUCCUGGUUUAUGGAGAACGACUGACCAGAAUCAGCUGUGAGAAAGGCGAUAGACUUACACUCAUCUGCUUUGAAUUGGCAUUAAGUGGGGAUAAGAGGCAGCUGAGAUCCAUAAUUCACAGUUUCAUCAAGAAAUUGCCACCACCACCCCAACCUUCAGCAACCAUCACCUUCAUCAGUCGGCAGCCAUCCACAUCCAGGCAAGAUCCUUCUCCAUAAAAAAAAGAUUAUGACUCACUGAAGAUUCAGAUGAUGGUUAAUGUCUUUUUAGCAAUAAAGUAUUUUUGAUUCAGGUCACCAAGGCCAGGAAAAGCAAGGAACAACCAUUCAAUCCUGAAUCAUAUAUGGAAACCUGAUUAUAGCUGUUCUUCUAAAAACCUGGAUGUCAUUAAUAUUGAUGUUUAUGGAGCUAAGAUCUAAGUACAGAUAAAAAGUAUAUAUGUAUACAUAUGGUUGAAAUACCACAAUAUGUAUACUAGCCAUUAAUUCUUAGGGAUGGGGUGCUUUGCAUUUUUUAUACUUCUCUGUAUCGUCUCAAUUCCUAAUUUUGCAUCUAUAACUUUUAUAAUUUGGAAAUAAUAAUAAACAUGAUUUUUCCUAAA